CAACCAAACUGAAACCUCUGCAUUUGUCUGCUAUUGUCGUGAUAAGCCUCAUUUACUUAAAUGCAACCAAGGUACGGCAUACCUGCUUCUUUUUACUCUUCCUGAAUCGUUAAAACACUCCGUUGAAUCAUUGUUCAGAAACAUGGAAUCCAGUUGAUAUCCAGUCGUCUUUUUCUGCUGUUUAUGACCCAGAAUUAACCCCAGCUUUGGGUUCUUAAUUAUCCGAUCUUUUCAGCUUUUACUUCAUUGAUUAGACCUUUAAAAGAAAUCCAUUCAUGGUCUAACUUUUGGAAUUGGUCAGCGGUCCCAGACAGCAGCACCCGUUAAAGGACUAUUCUUCCCAACUAGUUUGGCCCAAACCUCAUCUUCUACUUCUCUUCUUAAUUUCAUUUUCCCCCCUUCAAAUGCAAUGAAAAGGUGCGGCCAAAGUAAUGUUUCUUUUUCUCUCCUUUAAAUUAAGCCACCGAAAUCUUUGGUUAUAUAGAGCAAGUGCCCCCACCUAUUAAAUUACUCUUCUAUUCUAUCUUUUCUCAAUGGUCCCAUUUAAUAUUGGGUCGGUGCAGAUUUGGUUUUAGGCAUAAUCACUUUCCCCCCCUAAUUUUAAAAAACAAUAUUUUAAUUAUCUUGUAAUUUUUUAUCAAUAAAUAAAGAAGUUAUUAACUUUAUUGAUGUGACGUACACGUGAAUACAUAUAAAUGAUAUAUCUAUAUUUUUAAAUUUUUAAAUUUUAAAAAUUUAAUUAAAUGUUAAUGUAUCAUUCAUGUUGUAAUUUACGUGUAUGUAAUAUCAACAAAAUUAAAAGCAUUAAUUUUUCUAUUCAUUUUGAAGUCAUGCAAUAAAAAAACAAAAAGAGUUUAAACACUUAAAAAACGAAAAUUAAAAUAAAUUUUUUAGUAAAAUUGGAGGUUGAAAUAAAUGAUUAUGCUUUGUUUUUAUUCAUGUCAUGGGGAUUUUUUUUUUAAAGCCAACGACAAAAUCCAGUUGAAGAGGAUUCUAAUCUUUCAUAAAUUACUAUCAUUAUGACAUCAGCAUUAGCAGAUAUAGGUCAUUUCUGCUAGUGCGGUCUUAAAGCUAAGCUAUCUUUUACUUGGGAGAAUCUGGAAUUGUAGAGGGUAGGCGCCACCCAUUCUUUGACUUUCCCAAAUGGAUGUUUGUGAUCAAGAUAACUGCUACAUUGAUGUGAAUAUGAAAUUGCCCAAUCUCUUGAACAAACCAUACCUUUGCUUUUGCUUCAAAUAUUAUUCUCUGUUUCCUUUCUAAAUUCCCAUCCCUAUCCAUAUCACAUUAAAGGUGGGUUUGGAUGGGCGAUUGGAUGCGGUGCGAUGCGUUUAACUUACUUUUUGUCUCACGUUACAGUAUCUAAUCUCAUCGCCACCGCUGUUUUUACACUAACCGCAGGUAAACGCACCGCCCAUCCAAACUCACCCUAAAAUUAAGAUAAUAUAAACUCAACAAGGUAAUAGUACCAUCCGACUGUUCCAUUCCAUUCCAUCCCUUAUUGCUAUAUUUUAGAUCACUUCUUUGUAUUGUUGCCAUCUUUUUGACAACCUUAGUAUGCAAACUCGCACUAUAACCUGAUUUAUCGAGUCAUGUCAUGAUACAUAAUUUGAAAUUGUUCUGUUUAGAUAUGAAAUAGGGUUGCACUGCCUUAUAGGCAAGUUUAGGAUAUCAUUAAUCAACUUUUAAGUGUAGGAACAAAAUAAUAAUAUCUUUUCUUUGGAUUGUUACAUGUUUUUGCUUCUGUUUCUUGUUUCAUAGCUGAAAUUGGGACCAUAAAAUGUGAUAUAGACGGCUGAUAAUUGACCCUUUGUAGGAAUUAGGAUUACAUGUCUUUAGAAAUGUUGAGAGCUCUGAUGGAUUAUUUAUCAGUAAAAGUAUCAUGGAGGCUCCUGUGUAUUAUUAUCCAGAUUGUAUUUUGCUUCUCUCUAUUAAAAAAAUUGGGUAAAUUAAUCCAUGUAUGUUAAAUCAAAUAACAAAUCAAUCUUAUUUGUUAAAAAUUCAUCUAUUUGUACUAUUAAAAAUUGGUGUGGCUAACGGAAUAAUCAAAUAAUGAUACAUAACUAGUCACAUGUGUACCUUAUGUUGAUGUACAAGAAUUAGUUUUAAAUAAUAAAAAUAGAGGAAAUUUUUAACAAAAGAAUCAAGUUGCUUUUUGAUCUGUCUAAUUUAUCCAAUACAAUCCGACUUUUAGUAUAGGUACUCCACUUUAACUUUUUUCAUUAUUUUUCCCAUUUGCCAUAUACCAUAUUCAUUUAAUUUCUCUAAAAAAACCAAUUUUUUUCUAUUUCAGGCCGGCAUGGUUCUAACUUGGCAAAAAAGCUUGCAAUCGGUAAUAUACUCCCCCGAUUCUCCCCUGUUCCAUUCAUCUCUUCUGGCAGUGUGUUGCUGCAUUUUCAUCUUCUUUUUCACCAACUUGAUACGAAUUUUCAAUAAACGCAGGUUUUGGAGCGGCUGCUGGAGGCAUAAUAAUCUCGGCCAUCGCUUUCUAUUUCUGGUUGCGCCAUCGCCGUGGAAAGGAGUUCUUUAAAUCAUCUUAUGCAUGGAGCAAAAGCUUUUCCGAUCGUUCUUUCAUGAUGGAUCCUGAGAAGGUCAAAAGCUUGGCUGGUGUCCAUCUCUUCACCUAUAAAGAACUUGGAGAAGCUACCAACAAUUUUGAUUCCAAUAAGGAACUUGGUGAUGGAGGCUUUGGAACCGUAUAUUAUGGUAAGAAAAAGAUACAAAACCGAAUCAUUAGAUUGUCGAUGUUCUAUUAUUCUCUCAUCCAUCUUCCUUGACUAGGCAAACUUCGAGAUGGACGCGCGGUUGCGAUUAAACGUUUAUAUGAAAACAACUACAAGAGAGUUGAGCAAUUCAUGAAUGAAGUUUGGAUCCUAACCAAAUUGCAUCACAGAAAUCUCGUAUCGCUUUACGGAUGCACCUCUCGUCACAGUAGGGAACUGUUGCUGGUAUAUGAAUAUGUUUCUAAUGGCACUGUUGCCGAUCACCUUCAUGGACAACGUGCUAAACCGGGUGCGCUCUCUUGGUCCAUUCGCUUAGAUAUAGCCAUAGAGACUGCAGAUGCACUCAGCUAUCUCCAUGCUUUUAAAACCAUCCACCGUGAUGUGAAAACCAACAAUAUCCUCCUCGACAACAAUUUCACAGUUAAAGUUGCCGAUUUCGGACUGUCUCGUCUUUUUCCAUCUAAUGUUACCCAUGUUUCCACUGCUCCACAAGGGACUCCCGGUUAUGUCGAUCCCGAAUAUCACCAAUGCUACCAGCUUACCGAGAAGAGUGAUGUGUUUAGCUUUGGGGUUGUACUCGUUGAGCUAAUAUCAUCAAAACCAGCCGUAGACAUCACGAGGCACAGACACGAGAUCAAUUUGUCGAACAUGGCUAUCAAUAAGAUUCAAAACCGAGCAUUACAUGAACUAGUGGAUCCAUCUCUCGGGUUCGAAUCAGACUACAAGGUUAGGAAAAUGAUAACGGGUGUAGCAGAGGUGGCAUUCCAGUGCCUGCAAAACGAGAAAGAGAUGAGACCAACAAUGGCACGAGUGUUGGAGGCCCUAAAGGGUAUACAAAAUGAGGAUUACAAUAAAGCAAAGGCAGAAGAGAUGGAUAUUUCAGCAGAUGAUGUUGGGUUGUUGAAGAGUGGACCAUUGCCACAUUCUCCAGAUUCUGUGAUGACAAAAUGGCAUAGCUCCUGUACAAUACAGUCAAAUAGUACGAGUUAACUUAAAUUUCACUAAAUUUCGAGGCAUAUAGUAAAGGAAACACUGUCAACCUGUACUAUAAUUUUUCUUUCCAUUUGUGCUUCACCUUGAAUGGUAAAUGGGAUGUAAAUAUUAUAUAGGAUAAGCGGUGUAUGAAAACCGUCAGCUUUGGCAUUCAAAUUUUCAGCUGAUUCCAGCUUUUUGAUUAACAAGUUGCAUAAAUUAGAUAAACAAAUUAAUUGUUUAAUUUAAUACUUCUGACAAAGGAUAUGUUCUUUUGGCUUUUAGUAUGUUUAAGGAACUUUGAGCUAGACAUGUUUCUUUCUUUGUUUACUCCUUGUAGGCAAAUAUAUAAAUAUGAAUUUAUGUUGAAUGGGUUGAAAAUUUGAUGUCCCUCAAGAGUUAAAAUCACUGUUAGUGUCUACAAACAUUAUGUUUUGUUCACUCUAUUAGAAUAGAAUUAUAAUAGAAUGCUAUUAUGUAGGAAUAAAAUAGAGCUUUAAUGGAAUAAGAGUAUUGCAAUAAUUUCGUUGCAUGGAAUAGAAUGAGUAUUAUAAUAAUAUUUCUAUGUUUGAUUCAAAGAAAUAGAUACUCUAAUAGCAUGAGAAAAAGAAUGAAAUCACUAAUAUAUCCUUUAAUUUUUUUAUAAAAAUAUUCAACUAUGUUUAAAGACUUAAAUAACCAAUAUACCUUUUUAUUUUAAAAACUAAAAUAUCCAAAAAUGUUAAAAUUUUGAAAUGACCAAUAUGCCUUUUUAUAAUUUUUUUAAUAUAUAUAUAUUUAUCAAAUAUAAUAUUCUUGAUUAUAUUUUAGGGAACUUGACUCUACACUAACCAAAAUGAUAUUAAUUUUACCUUAAAAUAUAUUCUAAAAGAACUAAUAUCGUCAGUAUUAUAAAUUGUGAGGUGAAAAUGGCAAAGGAAAAAUAUGAUAUUUAAUUUACCAUGAUGAAAUUAUUAUAAUUGCAUUCAAUAAUAAAUAUUAUGCUCAGAGAAUCAAAAAUUUUCUAGUGAGAGGUCAAAAUAAAAUUAAUUUGAAUGACUUAAAAUUAUAAGUUUAAACAAUUGAAAAAAAUCUUUGAAACCUGAGAGAAAUCUUCUAUCAUUGAGGUUUUGAAUUGCUAAAGCCUAAUAAGACCAAAAGAUUUAUAGAAUUUGAUUAUAAUUGAUGCAUUAAAAUAGUUGAUGGUGAUUGUUUGAUUCAGGUAUGCUUGAUAUAGAUUUGUGAGUUGUAAAUUGAAUAUGUCAUGAUAAGUAGAAGAAAGUUACAAAAAUUGGUAUGCUAAGUAACAUAUAUUAUUUGAUGAUCUUGUACAUUGUUUAAACUCACCUUGUUGAUGUUUGAGUGCCAUGUCUUAGCCAAUAACAUGUCAAACUAAGGUUGCAUUUAUACUUGCAUAAUAUUAAGGUAAAUAUAGUAACUUUCAAAUGAACAUAUUAAGCAUUCUAUAUGCUUACACUAAUUGCUUUCUUCCUUUGUAGAUUGUCACUUUGCGGAACUCACGAGUUAGAUUGAAGAGAAGCUCACACUAUCAUCAAAUCAGUAAAGUUGUGCUCAUUUUGGUUAUAGUGUUGUGACAUGCAUAUAGGAUCAACGUGUCACUUGAAUUGAGAACAUAAUGUAUGUAUUAAGAAGUAGUUUUGGUAAUGUUUAUGUUUGCACUUGGUUGAUGUUGGAUGUUAAGUUGAUAAAUGACUUAGAUGAUGCAUGUUUAGUUAUGUUUGAUGUUAUUAAAAAGCGUGAUCAUGAAUUUGUAUGAAUUGAUAAGUUGAGGAUUGGAAAGGGAAGUAAUUAAAGCAUAACAAGAUGACAUAUAAGCUAGAAUUGGUAUGUUUAGGUGUAAAGGUGAGUUAGAACUCCAUUGAUGAUUUUGUGAUAGUUGAUAUAUUCAAUACUUGAUUGUAAUGGUUAUGUGGUCUUGUUGACAUAAAGUGGUAUGGAAUUGAGAUUUUUUUUUAUUGUAAAUAGAUGUAUGAAUCAAUUAAGUUGAGUUGCAAGUUAUUAAGUUGGAACCAAAUGAUAUUUUUGCUAAAAAAGGGGUAUCGUCACGACUACCAACAUCUCAACGUGAGCUGAAAGUGAGUGACGUCGCAACGUUGAUAAGCUUGAAGUUGCGACGUGACUCACUGACUUGGUGACAUCAUGACGUGGAAAUUCUAAAGUCGUGACGUCAAUUCGUGAAUUUCAAAACUUUACAAUUCGGUCCUAAUUCAUGCUCGGGUUAACUAACGAGCUUUUGUAAGCUCAUGUAGGACCUAAAAAUAAUUAGGAUACAUAUUUAGAAUGUGAAUGAUAUUUGUUUGCUUAUGUGAUUGGUUGAAUGUUGUAAUAUUGUCUAAAGUUGCUCCGACAACAAAUGUAGUAUCCUACAGCUCGGACUCGAUGAUCGGGUCGAGUGAUGGGUGUUACAUAGCCUCACAUGAUAUUGAGCAACACAAUGGACACAAUGGAAAUUUGCGGUGUUUCUAAAAAAGUGCCGCUAAUGCUCGAUCUAUUGCGGCGUUUUUUGAAAAAGCGCCGCUAAUUCCACUAAAUCUCAACCCAAUUUUUCUUUCUUAGAAUUUAUGUCAAAGUUAAACAUUCAAAACAUUAUAACCUACCCAAUAUGAAAUUUAAACUAAAAUAAAUCUAAACAAUAUUCCCACAUGAUUUAUUACUAGGUCAUUUUAUGUAGGAAGUUGGAAAUAAUAAGAAUGGAAGUUAUUACUUUUAAUUGUUUAACAUAGGUUAGAAUAGUAUUUUUUUUUUUUUACAUUUAGAUGUAAGUUCUCAUACAGUACUUUUACUUCUUAGAUUUCCAACAGUUAAUACUAUUAUUUUUUUUGUUAAAUUUUAAUUUUAUUAUAACUUUAUUUUUUUGUUAUAUGGUUACUAAGUGAAUAUUUUUUUUAAUUUUAUAAUAUCACAUUAACAAUUAAAAAAUAAUUUUAACAGUAUUAAUAAUUAAACUUAAAUUUUUAAAUUCGUAAAGUAAAUGAACUAAAUUUUUAAAAAUAAAAGUAAAAAGACUAAAUUCCAAAUGUACAAAAAGUAUAAGAAGAAAUUGAAGUAUAUUUUAUCUUAACUUAUAAUAUCCAUCACAAUAUUUGUGAUAUUCUUUAGAGGAAUUUUUUAUGAAAAAAAUGUUUAACCUAUAAUAUAAGUACGGGAUAAAUUAUAUUAGUAUCACCUAAAAAUUUUAGUUUUUAGGUACCAAUGGAAUAAAGUUAUGUCAUCAAUUUUUAAGAACAUAAAAUUUUUAUCAUAUGCACAUCCGUAUACAAUCCCUCUCUAUUUUAGGUGUUGUUUGAUAAAUUAAAAAAGUAAGUAUUAAAAAAAUAAGUUUUGAAAAAUUAAUUAUUGAAAAUUUAAGUACUUAAUUUAAGUUAGGGUAAACUACACCCGCGGUCACUUUUGUUUACCUUAGGUUACAUUUUAGUCACUUAUGUUUGAAAUGUUACGUUUUAGUCACUUACGUUAUCGUGUUGUAACAUUUUAGUCAUUAAGCCGUUAAUUGUCGUUAAUGAUGUAAUAGUAAGUUGACGUGGCACGUUAAAUUAUCAUUACAAACAAAAAUUUUAGGUUAAAUUAUACAAUUGGUCCCCAUAAUUUUUCGUUUUGAGCAAUUUAAUUCUUUUAUGUUCUUUUAACUUUCUUUCUUUUUUUCUUUAUUUUCCAUUCUCUUCUGCUUAUUCCUCUGUUUUCCUACCUUCUCUAUUUCUUUUAACAUACCAGGAAGUCGAAUUGGCAGUGAAGAAAGAAGCAUGGAAUGGGUUUAUGGGUUUUGGUUAUAGGCAAUGAUGACAGUCGACUUCCUACUUUUUCAUUGCCAAUUCGACUUCCUACUAUGUUAAAAGAAAUGAGAAAAGUAUGAAAACAGAGGGAGAAACAAAAGAGAAAAAUUUAAAGAACAUAAAAGAAAAAAAAUUAAAUUGCUUACGACGAAAAAAAUAUGGGGAUCAAUUGUAUAAUUUAACCUAAAAUUUUGUUUGAAAUAAUGAUUUAACGUGCCGCGUCAGCUUAUCGUUACACCAUUAACGUAUAUUAAUGGCUCAGUGACUAAAAUGCUACAACAUGAUAACGUAAAUGACUAAAACAUAACAUUUCAAACAUAAGUGACUAAAACGUAACCUAAGGUAAACAAAAAUGACCAUGGGUGGAGUUUACCCUUCUAAGUUAGAAAAUUUGUUUGAUAUAUUACUUAAAAUUAAUUAUAGAAUAUAAUUAGAUUGUUUGACAAAUAUAGAUUUUAAAUUAUAAAAAAAAUAUAUUCUACAUUAUAUUUUUAAUUUUUAAACAUUCCACCUUAUUCUAAAUAAAACUUAAAAUUUUGAACGUAAAAUUUGUAUAGGAUAAUAUAAAAUUAAAAUGAAUAAAGUAAAAUUGCAAUAACUGAAAAUAUUCUUCAUUAUUUUCCACACUUAUUAUUUUCCACACUUUUUUUAUAGAAAAAAAUAUUAUCAAAUUGCUUUAAUUUUGGAUUAUCAAACUAAAUCCAUUGAAAAUAAAUUUAAUUUUUUAAUAAUUUAUCAAACAAUUAUUUAAUAAAAUUUAAUUUAAUUAUUUAUAAAAUAAACAAACUAAUGCAAGAAGAUAAAAGAUUGGAUUAGAGAGUAACAACAUUAAUUGAAAAAAUAGAUUAGACCAACCUCAGAUUGAAUUGGAAACAAUGAUACUGUCUAAUUUAAAGUAACAUAUUAUUUAUAUAAAAAACUUGGAAUCAAUAUAGAAUCAUUUUAACCAAUCAAACAUCAAAUAAAAAUUUUGAUUAUGAUUUAUGAGAUUUGAAAAUAAAAAUUAAAACCCUGGUUAUUAGACAGGGGGUUGGGUAUGAAUAUAAGACAAGAGUAAGUGGCAGUAUGUUAUCCAGGCUGACAUCUUCUGCCCAGUACUUAUUUUAUUAGACCUGUUGGGCUUUAGCAAGGAAAUGAGUGAAAAAUAGGAAUAAACCAAAAAUAAAUGUGUCUCUCAUUUAAUUUAAAUAAAGUUUAAUCCGCUUGAAAUAAAAAAAAAAUAUCACUUAUCGGUUUGAUCAACGGUUGUAAUAACUUGCAAAAAGAAAAAAUAGUUUAGAUAAUAAUAAUAAUAAUAAUAAUAAUAAUAUUAUUAUUAUUAUUAUUAUAUAUGUAUUGAUACAUAAAUUUGAAGUGUUUUUAUAUUUAUGUUGUAGUUAUCACACUUUUUUUUUUGUCAUAGUAUGGUAUUUUGAUUAUUAGGUUCAAAAUUAAGAAUGAUGCUAGUCAUUUAAGUGGUGGAAAACUAAAAAUUCCUAGUGGAGUGGUAAACCUUCCGUGCCAAAAACUUGAAACGAGAUUUUUGGAGUGAAGAUGAUUUGUCCAUGAAAAAUAAGCCACUAAAUGGCAUUACGUCAUUCAACCACAUGUGAAGUACCUUUCCACAAGUCAAGGUCAGCACCCUUGUAUCUCUUGGAAAUUUUGUAACCCCCCUCCUUCCUCUUCUGUUAAAUUUCCAACCCAACCCCAUUUUUUGUCUCCCCAAUCUAUCUGACCUUCUCACUCUGUUUUUAUAUGUACAUAUAAACCCUUUUUCACUUUAAACCAACUAUUCACUCAUUCUUCCAUGGAUGCCUUCUUCCUUUCACCAUCUUCCUUCUCCAUCUUAUUCCUUUUAACUAUUUUCCAGCUGUCUUACGCCCGAGAUGAUUUCCACUUUACUUCAUGCGCUCCAUUUGAUUGUGGAAACCUUGUUAAUAUUUCAUAUCCUUUCUGGACCCAUCAAUAUAAUCGACCUUCAUAUUGCGGUUACGGUGAUGAAGGGUAUAAGCUGAAGUGCAGGCAGAAUCAGCCCCCUGUUAUGACGCUCAGUUCCCAAGAAUUCUAUGUGCUGCAUCUCAAUCGGUCUCAUAGUUUGUUGACAAUCAGACGAGUGGAAUUAAACAACACCUGUCCUCAGCCGAUUUUGAUGAACAAUGCUUUUAAUUAUACUGAAACUGCUGAAAACAUUACGCUGUUCUACGACUGCCGAAGCAGGGGAGGUCCGAAUCAUCGUUUCAGCUGCAGAAAGGGUGGAAAAGAAACUUCCCUCAUGUUCUUUAAGGAGGAUGAAAAUGAAUGUAUUGGAAACAGUGAACAAGUUGAAAUUCCUAUUGGGAAAAAGGCCUUUGAUGAUCUGAUUGGCGGAAUCAGCACUGUUAAUGAAAGUUUAGUCCAACCCUUUGAUAUUAGAUACUUUGCAUACGAUCCUUAUUGCAAACACUGCAAGGAUUCUGGCGGAAGAUGUGGACACAACCAAACUGAAACCUCUGCAUUUGUCUGCAAUUGUCGUGAUAAGCCUCUUUUACUUAAAUGCAACCAAGGUACGGUAUACCUGCUUCUUUUAACUCUUCCUGAAUCGUUAAAACACUCCGUUGAAUCAUUGUUCAGAAACAUGGAAUCCAGUUAAUAUCCAUUCGUCUUUUUCUGCUGUUUAUGGCCCAGAAUUAACCCCAGCUUUCGGUUCUUAAUUAUCCAAACCUUUAUAUCAUUUUCUCUUCUCUGUAUUAUUGCCCUCUUUUAUACAACCUUAUUAUGCAAACUGGCACUAUAACCCGACCUAUCGAGCCAUGUCGUGAUACAUGAUCUGAAAUUGUUCUGUUUGG
rnacentral:lncRNA from 1 species